rnacentral:rRNA from 1 species
GAUGAACGCUGGCGGCGUGCUUAACACAUGCAAGUCGAACGGAAAGGCUCCUGCUUGCAGGGGUACUCGAGUGGCGAACGGGUGAGUAACACGUGGGUGAUCUGCCCUGCACUUCGGGAUAAGCCUGGGAAACUGGGUCUAAUACCGGAUAGGACGAUGGUUUGGGUGCCAUUGUGGAAAGUUUUUCGGUGUGGGAUGAGCUCGCGCCUAUCAGCUUGUUGGUGGGGUAAUGGCCUACCAAGGCGUCGACGGGUAGCCGGCCUGAGAGGGUGUACGGCCACAUUGGGACUGAGAUACGGCCCAGACUCCUACGGGAGGCAGCAGUGGGGAAUAUUGCACAAUGGGCGCAAGCCUGAUGCAGCGACGCCGCGUGGGGGAUGACGGCCUUCGGGUUGUAAACUCCUUUCGCUAGGGACGAAGCGCAAGUGACGGUACCUGGAGAAGAAGCACCGGCUAACUACGUG